GAUGAACGCUGGCGGCGUGCCUAAUACAUGCAAGUCGAGCGACAGGACGAGAAGCUUGCUUUUUUGCUGUUAGCGAGGGACGGGUGAGUAAGACGUGGAUAAGCUUCCUCUAAGACUGGGAUAAUUUCGGGAAACCGCAGAUAAUAAUGGCUAAUACUUUCAACCGGUUGGUUCAAAAGUGCAUGACGGUCUUCGUGUCACUUAUAGAUGGAUUCGCGUUGGAUAAGCUAGUUGGUAAGGUAACGGCUUACCAAGGCGACGAUGCGUAGCUGAGCUGAGAGGAUGAUCAGCCACACUGGAACUGAGACACGGUCCAGACUCCUACGGGAGGCAGCAGUGGGGAAUAUUGGACAAUGGGCGAAAGCCUGAUCCAGCCAUACCGCGUGGGUGAAGAAGGUCUUCGGGUUGUAAAGCCCUUUUGUUGGGAAAGAAAAGAAGCAGGUUAAUACGCCGCUGUCCUGACGGUACCUAAAGAAUAAGCACCGGCUAACUUCGUG
rnacentral:rRNA from 1 species